GGACCUGAGGAAUAAACACCGGCUAACGACGUACCAGCAGCCACGGUAAAACGAAGGGUGCAAGCGUUAAUCGGAAUUACUGGGCGUAAAGCGUGCGUAGGCGGUGGUUUAAGUCUGCUGUGAAAUCCCCGGGCUCAACCUGGGAAUGGCAGUGGAACUGGAUCGCUAGAGUGUGAUAGAGGAUGGUGGAAUUCCCGGUGUAGCGGUGAAAUGCGUAGAGAUCGGGAGGAACAUCAGUGGCGAAGGCGGCCAUCUGGAUCAACACUGACGCUGAGGCACGAAAGCGUGGGGAGCAAACAGGAUUAGAUACCCUGGUAGUCCACGCCCUAACCGAUGCGAACUGGAUGUUGGUCUCAACUCGCAGAUCAGUGUCCAAGCUAACGCGUUAAGUUCGCCGCCUGG
rnacentral:rRNA from 1 species